rnacentral:lncRNA from 1 species
GAUUUGUCUCCAGUUACCAAAUACUCGGACUUAGUCCUGCACGGAUGCAGUUUCUAUGCUGACUUCAUCAGAGCAAGGGCUUGCAGGAAAGCUGUUCCCUUAACCCAGAAUGGGUUCUGGCUUUAACACAAGCAGAUGCCAUAAAGUUGCCCACAUUAAAUCCAAGACAAACUCUCAGCUCCCAUCCAAACCACGUUUCAGCCACCAUAAGCCACCCUGAAGUGGAGGUGCUUCUCUGCAGCAGCAGGCUGAUAAAGUAAGGAGUUGCUCUCCCUGCUUUGUCCCUAGCUAGGAACACAAAGUAUUUUCCUCAGAUAUCACAUACUCUGAAAACCUCGCUCUUGCUUUAAACGCUCUGCCUUUCUGAGAUUUUGCUACAAAUCCGCAAAGCCUUUUUUUGCAAAGGCCCGAGGUAAAACUUGGUGCUUGCUUCGGGAAAGCGACGAAUUUCCGAGCAAAAGCUGGGACUGUUCCUUUAAGCGCAACCCCAAUAUGUCUGGGUAUUUCAGCACAUAUGGGCCACGAUGGUUAAACCCUACCCAGCUGGUCUGGCCAUUCUGCCGCGAAGCCUCCUGUCUUUGUUCGUGGCUAAAAGGGAGGGUGACAGCUCUGGAGGGAUGCUUGGGCACUGGUGACGGGAGCGCUGCCCGCGCAGGGAGGAUGGGGUGCGGGGGCACGGCCUGCCUGGUAGCGUUGGCCCUGCUCUGCGGGGCGCUCGGGGUGGCCCCCAGCACAGGUAAGAGCCUGAACACCGCGGGGACACCGGGGCUGGCCGGGGGAAGGAUCCAGCCCGGGAACCACCCAGGCGUGUGCAAGUGUGUGAGAUGGGUGUGCGCUUGGUUUGCUGCAUCACGUUGGUUUUAUUGAAGAUUGCAGGUAGGGAUCAUCCUGCUGCGGUUACAGGCACGUUGCUGAAGGGUUUGUUAGCUCGUGGAGUUGCACACACAUAUAUAUAUAUGUAUAUAUACCCACACACGCAUAUAGAUGUGUAUAUAUACACAUAUAAGUUGCGGUGCAUGUGGUAAACCUGCCUGUUAUCUGUACAACGUGCCCCUUGAAUGCAGAACGGGUUCAGCACACAGCACAGUAACUGAGGGGCUGGGGG